AAAUUCACUAUCUCAUCUUUCUAUUCUGUGCCAAAACAGACAUAUCACGAGACGUCAUUAACGUUCCGUUUACUGUAGAUUAUGUGGCUGCCAACUCACUAAUGACAUGUUUAAGACUUAAUAAAAACACCAAAAAUUAGAAUAAAACGAUUAGACUUCAAUCCAUUAACCUACAUCUUUAUUUCUAAAUUCAUUUAACAUAUUGUCUUCCUCUCGAUUGUGACUAAUAAGAACACAAAUCUGAAUUCCUCUUGCAUGGUACACGAAAUUACAUAAAUCUGAAGAUAUUGGCAACGAUUUCGAACAAGGAGUUGUUGUUGCUUCUCGCCUAUUGGAACAAUGAGCGAUGAAGAUGUAGAUGCAGUAUUUCAGUGCUAUUACGAUGGAAAUUUUUGUAGUCUCACAAGGAAUAAACUUAGCUA